AAGCCAUAUUGUCUUGGCCUCUUCCCCAAGGCCUCAAUUUGUCUCUCGGUUUUGGAGGGGCUUUUGUGCUGAGAUGGGGAUCUCCUUGUCAUUUACGUCCUCCUAUCAUCCACAAUCUAAUGGAGCUGCCGAACGGGCAAAUCAAUCUGUGGAGUUAUAUUUACGCUGCUUCACGAAUGUGCACCAGGACAACUGGUCUCACCUCCUUCCCUGGGCUGAAUUCGCCAGGAACACUGUGACUCAUUCGUCCACUGGCUUAAGUCCUUUUAUGGUUGCUUAUGGGUUCCAACCCUCUGUCCUUCCCGGCGUGUUCUUCGACAAGGGAAUGCCCGCUUUGGACGAGCACCUCACCUCCUUACGGAAGAUGUGGGAUCAGGUCCAUGCUACUCUCUCUCAUGCGGCUGCUACUCAGAAGAGAUUUGCUGAUCGUCGUAGGGGUGCGGCUCCUUCUUAUGUCCCGGGUGAUAGGGUUUGGUUGUCCUCUAAGAAUCUCCGCCUCAGGGUCCCCUCGAUGAAAUUCGCGCCCAGGUUCCUGGGCCCCUCUAAGGUAUUGCAUAAGGUGAAUCCUGUGUCCUACUCCCUGGCCUUGCCUCCUUCCAUGCGUAUACCUAACACUUUUCACACCUCCCUUUUGAAGCCCCU